rnacentral:rRNA from 1 species
CCCUUAGAUGUUCUGGGCCGCACGCGCGCUACACUGAAGGGAUCAGCGUGUUUUCCCUUCCCGAGAGGGACGGGUAACCCGCUGAACCCCCUUCGUGGUAGGGAUCGGAGCUUGCAAUUGUUCUCCGUGAACCAGGAAUUCCCAGUAAGCGCAAGUCAUAAGCUUGCGUUGAUUACGUCCCUGCCCUUUGUACACACCGCCCGUCGCUACUACCGAUUGAACGUUUUAGUGAGGUAUUUGGACUGGGCCUUGGGAGGUUUCGGCCUCCCUUGUUGCUCGGAAAGACUCCCAAACUUGAGCGUUUAGAGGAAGUAAGAGUCGUAACA